rnacentral:lncRNA from 1 species
AGUGCAUAACUCCAGUAGGUACUCUUAAAGGUGUUUCUCUAUAAACUGAAAUAAAAUUUGAUGUUACAAGCAAAACAGUGAGUAAUCUAAUAGCUCAUCUAUGCCAUAGAUGAAAAGUUAGAUUGUCUCCUGCAUCUUUUAGAACAUGUUUUGAUUUUCUACCUUUUUUUUCCAGCAAAGCUUUGAGAUAUUGAGUGAAGAUGAUGCAUCCUUUAUCCUAAAGGUUACACAAACUCUUACGAAUGCAUUGGUGGAGUAUCGGCAACAGGGUGCACCAACAAAUGACUCUUUAGAUUCUGAACCAAAUCAAGAAAAAACAAUUGAACAUUCCACAGAACAAUCUGAUGCGACUUCGGUGGAUAUUAGUGACUGUAACACCGGAUUUUCAGCAAAUUAUAUGUCAGACAGGAGGAAACAUCCUGCCCAACAACCAUAUGACAGCACAGCAGCAAAGUCUAAUGUUAGUGGAACAUUCAUGAGAAAGGAUUCACAAUCAGUGAACUUUUCAAAAAGCAAUGCUACAAAUUGGAAACGUGGAACUUUUCAAUCCACGUUUAAAGUAUUAAGUAAUGAAGAGUCCUUAGAGUCUGCUUCUGCUACUGAAGAGCAAUAUCCCUCCUCUUCUCAAAACAUGUCUAAUGAAAAGUUUUUAUCUGCUAUUGAGAGAGAUGCACCCCAAAACUCUUUAUCUGACUCUUUGAGAACAUCAUAUGAAAACGAUGUCACUACUGAAUUUUUCAAUAGUGUAAGAAAUAUGGAUGCUGCUGAGGUUACGGCUACUCUACAGAAAAUAGCAGCUACAAAUCCAGCCUUCAGAGGUAUUGACAUUCCAAAUGUGAUAAGGAUCUUGACUGAAAGUGGGACUCUUAGAGCACCAAACAGCAACAGUGUACAGUGAUAUGGGAAAACAAGAAGUGAUAUUAAUGUUGUAAUGUGUAAACUGAAAAUUUGUCACUUGUAUGCAAUUAAUUUUGGUGUGUUCAAACUCUGUACAGUGUUACUUGUUAUAUCUCCAGAGUAAUAGUUUGAUUUUGCAGAUUUGUGUGUUAUAUUUAUUUCUCCCAAUUGCUGGAAUUUCUGUAUUUGUGGAAAGAGACUGUAAUGUUGAUAAAAAAAAAAUAUUUUUUCUUUGUUAAAGAUAAUCACUUUUGAAAAUUACCCCUAAAAAUGGUUUAGCUAUAUCUUGGCUACGAAGCUUUUACAUAAUGGAGGGCUGAUCUUUCCCCCCCUAAUUCUUUAUAAAAAUAACUAAAGAAAGGAAUUGCACGGGUAGAGUACAAUAUACAGGUUUGAACCUUCUAGGUCAUUAGUUCAAAUUUGACUCAAGAUUAUCUAUACCCAAAAGAUACUUCCUUUUGCAGCUAUUCAUUGGCCACUGGAUCUGAUCCAAAGUCCCCUUUUAGUCAAAAGAGAGACUCCCAUUGACUUAUGUGGGUUUUGGAUCAGGCCCCGUCAUGUAUGAGUUAAGAUUAUAGUGUCAAUCUGGUUCCUGGUUGAGGUGUCCAAAUUGCAUGAAACCCAUCAGUGUUGGAAAUUUAAUUGGAAGACUCAGCAAACAGGGCAGAGAUUGAAGUGUGUCUCCAAGUGAUCUAGUCAGAUCAUGGCUGAGAUACAACGCAGUGAUUUUUAUUUGCUCAGUGAGAAACGUAUCCCAACGGUUAUCGGUGCCUGCUGUGUCCUGCAUAAUAUCUGUGAAGCAAAGAGGGAGGAUAGUCGCUGCUGGGAUGGAGGGCGGAGAUGAAGCAGUUGUCUGCCGAGUUUGAAGUGCCGUUAGAAGAGCUCUACACAGAUCCAUACAGCUCAGGGAAGCUUUGAAAAGAGCACUUGAACAGCGAGCCACAGUAAUGUGUUGUGGUAUACUGAGCUCUAGCUGGAUCUGCAGUUUGGGGGCUUGUUAG